UGCGAAAUGAAAUUUCCUAUACAAAACCUAUGCAUAAAAAACGUCGCGAAAUGCUCGCGAAAAAAAAUUUCGUUUCCAUUUCGUAAGCGGUACGCAGCUCUCGCGAAAACGAUAACGAAAAAUGCAGUUAGCCGAGACACGGUUCGACAAACGAUAAGUUUCAUAAUACUUCCGCGAGAUAGCGCUGCUUUCUAUGCGCUGUCACCAAGGCAAACUUUUUCCUUGCGAAAUAAUGGUCAAUGGUAUUAUUUCGCACGGAGGCUCGCGAAAUUUUGACAGUUUUGAGAAUCAAUAUUUUGAAUUUGAAUGGCACACCCGAACAAAGCAGCCACAAGAGCAGCAUUUUUCGUCAGCAGCAGAAGCAGCAGCCAUCUAUCUACUUGAUAAGUUUUCAUCAACAACAACCAGAUGCUACAAAUCAGCUCAACUUGACUCAACAUCCUGGAUCUGGCAAUCAGCCAACCAACAUUAAAUCGAUACAACCGUAGCAGUACCAACAACUCCAAAUCCAGCAGCUACCAACAAUCUCUCAAAAAAGAACCACAGCAAUUACAGCUCAGAACCAACAAAGUAACAAGAGCUUUUUUACGAAUAAUGGACCCAACGGACACACUUUAUCGGCACAUUCUGUCGUAAAACUUGCCUGCCACUAUUCUUACCAGCGGUUACCUUCCUGAUGUAGAGAAAUCAGAGUCAAACACAAACGUCAUAUUACUGCCUUGGCUCCUACCAGUUGCUUGCAUGAAAAUAUCGCUGCCUCCACAGCGCUCGUGAUUCCAUCCCAGCAGCAGCUAGCAACCACAAUUCCAGUGCUUAUCGCCAGCAACAUCAGAAAAUUAAGAUUUCCCCCAGACCAUGACCAUCAUCCGACAGAUCGGUAGCAACAACGUUCAACUGACGGUAGAACCUGGCCAGCAACCGCAACUAGUGCAAUCGAUCCAAGCCAAUCAGGGCCAAAUGUAGAAGACCAUUGGUCAACCGCAAAAAAAAGACAUCAACAGCACCUUCAAACACAGUAGCAGCAGCAUACUGUACUGUACCACGCCGCGUGCAGGAGGACUUUUUUUAUUCAGUUGGUGCAGCAAGAUCGAACAGCAACCAUAGCGGAUACACAUCACCGAACACCAGCAACAUAAUGCCAUGGUAACCACCUAGCAGCAGAACACGGUGAUAAUGGGCCAACAGUAAAUACAACAUCAAGAUCCUCGGAAAGGACUUUCUCUUUCGAACAAACAUAAUGGAAGCAUACUCUACACGCGCGACAUAUUCAAUCGGGCCAACCGUGUGACUCGUUUGGAAAAAAGCGCUCAUCAUCGGUUUUAUGGCAGCGAAGUGAGUAGACAAAAGAAGGCGUUUUUUCCGCAAGGUCGCUCUGGGCAAAAGUUCAGCCAAUUGCUAGGAAUAAACCACCGGAGUGACAGUAUCCGUGCUGUUUGGGACCUUUUUCCAUAUAUUGUAGCUUUUGAAUUUUAAUACCCGGUCGAAACGAUGGCAAGUGCUGCCGAUAACUGUGUCAAAAAGGCGGAGGGAGGAUCAGGAAAUUUCUGCACUCGGUUAUCGAUCUGAGUAUCCCUAAGGAUAAGGAACCAGAGCCGGCGGCUGACAGCCCAAAGAAAGAGAAUGCGGAAAAACCUUCUAGUUCACCGCCAGUAGAACCAGCGAUCAAAUUACUCCCGUAGAAACGGCUGCACCUGCAGUUUUGUUUUCGGUAGCUACAGAAAUUAAGACUUUAGCAGCUCCUGAAGAAAAAAAAAGCUGCUAGCGAAAAUGGAGAAACAGCUUCCUCCACGGAAGAUGCAGAGGCAUUCAAGUAAGUCGAAAUCUGGAGAAAAUUUUGAUUAGGACAUAAGUAACAUUGAGAGCCUCUCUCUGUUUACUUUCUGUUUCGAUUAUUACGUCUUUAUAACACUUUACACUAAUU